UACGGGGGGAGCAAGCGUUGUUCGGAUUUACUGGGCGUAAAGGGCGCGUGGGCGGUCAGCACAAGUCAGUUGUGAAAUCUCCGGGCUUAACUCGGAAAGGUCAACUGAUACUGUGCGACUAGAGUGCAGAAGGGGCAACUGGAAUUCUCGGUGUAGCGGUGAAAUGCGUAGAUAUCGAGAGGAACACCUGCGGCGAAGGCGGGUUGCUGGGCUGACACUGACGCUGAUGCGCGAAAGCCAGGGGAGCAAACAGG
rnacentral:rRNA from 1 species